AGUGAACGCUGGCGGUAGGCCUAACACAUGCAAGUCGAACGGCAGCACAGUAAGAGCUUGCUCUUACGGGUGGCGAGUGGCGGACGGGUGAGGAAUACAUCGGAAUCUACUUUUUCGUGGGGGAUAACGUAGGGAAACUUACGCUAAUACCGCAUACGACCUACGGGUGAAAGCAGGGGAUCUUCGGACCUUUCGCGAUUGAAUGAGCCGAUGUCGGAUUGGCUAGUUGGCGGGGUAAAGGCCCACCAAGGCGACGAUCCGUAGCUGGUCUGAGAGGAUGAUCGGCCACACUGGAACUGAGACACGGUCCAGACUCCUACGGGAGGCAGCAGAGGGGAAUAUUGGACAAUGGGCGCAAGCCUGAUCCAGCCAUAGCGCGUGGGUGAAGAAGGCCUUCGGGUUGUAAAGCCCUUUUGUUGGGAAAGAAAAGCAGCAGGUUAAUACCCCGCUGUUCUGACGGUACCCAAAGAAUAAGCACCGGCUAACUUCGUG
rnacentral:rRNA from 1 species